rnacentral:lncRNA from 1 species
UGACUUGCAAGCAACUCACUGCACUUAGAUACUGGACUACCUGAAUUUCUAAUUCAGUGACGGAAGGCUGCUGGGUGUAGUCAAGUACUUGACUUGUCGGUGCGUGUGUCAAGAUGGGAUUGACCACUCCAGUUUAGGAGCUGUGUAUAGUCAUGUUUCAAUUUAGCAAAACCUUGGCCAGGGUAGUCUUUGUGAGGAGUCACAGGACUAUUUGAGUUGAGCACGAUUCGGAUGAUCUGAUCAGGGUUGACAGUUUAACCCU